rnacentral:rRNA from 1 species
UACGUAGGGGGCUAGCGUUGUCCGGAUUUAUUGGGCGUAAAGCGCGUGUAGGCGGCCAGGUAAGUCCGCUGUGAAAGCCCAGGGCUCAACCCUGGGAUGCCGGUGGAUACUGGCGGGCUCGAGUCCGGAAGAGGCGAGUGGAAUUCCUGGUGUAGCGGUGAAAUGCGCAGAUAUCAGGAGGAACACCUAUGGCGAAGGCAGCUCGCUGGGACGGUACUGACGCUGAGACGCGAAAGCGUGGGGAGCGAACAGG